rnacentral:lncRNA from 1 species
UACUUUUCACUAACCAGUCUCAAUACUUUUUUACAACAGAUUAUUACAUACCAAUACUGAAAUGAAUUACAUAAGUAGAUAAGAAAAACAAAAAGGUUACACUAUAGAGAGCCUGAAAACAUGCCCAAAUUUCUAACACCUAAAUAAGACUUCCUCCCUGUGUUAUGUAAUAAAUAACCUCAAAUGCCAAGAUUGUUCGAUACUCUUUCUCAUAUCUGUGUGUGUCAGAGUUCCCUAAUAACCUCAAGAGAUCCCUGGCAGUGCUCACACCCAGAUUUCAUAGCCAAGACAGAGUAAGUGUAGUGUGGAAAUGACAGCUUUCAUGUGUCCAAGUUUAUGGGGAGCUCAAGGGUCUCAAGGCAAGGCUCACACAAAAGAGGCAGAACUUAGUGGUCUAAGAGUAGAGUGAGAGUGUUUUAACAUAGUUUGAAAGAAAGAGUAGAGUGAGAGUGCUUUAACAUAGUUUGAAAGAACUUAGUAAAAUAAUGUUGAAGUAAAAAACUUUCAAGAGUGAGAAGGUUUUCAAGAAUAGACACAGUUUUAGAAAAAAAUGCUAAGAGUGAAAAUAGUUUUGGAAGCAGUUCUGAGAAAACACACAAUCACAAAAAAAAAAAAAAUUAGAGUACCCAGAUUCGAAACAUUUAUUACUUGAUUCUAAGUGAAGACAAACAACUUUACAGACAAUGAUAAGGGGGAUUGGGGACAUAGAGAGCUCAAAUCAGAAACGCAUAAACAUGGAUAAGAUGAGAAGCAUAUAGACCAGCAAGUACAAAGAACAAGUAGGAACUGAUUGAUAUCCAAGAACACAAAACUACCAAUUCAAAUUAUUAACAAAGGAAUCAUACACGAAAUUAUAAUAAUAAUAAUAAUAAUAGUAAUAAUAGGCAGUAAGAUAUAAAGACAGGGUAUGGGAGUAGUCGUGUUGCUUAGUGUUAAUCAAGUACAUUAGGAGUCUAUGACAAUAACAUGAGCAUACUAGUUAAAGGAAAUAAACAAGAACUCAAGUAAACAUGCUGGCCAAGUAUCAUACAAGACAAGUGGGACCCAAACAUGUAGAUUACACACUUGAACAGGAGAGGACAAAACUUAAGCAUGCAAAAAUAAGCAGUAAACAAGAAGGGCAAUUAAAUACAUAAGCCAUUAAAUUAGUGUAGAAGGAGAAAUGGAUCACAUAGAGAUGAGUUUCAGAAUUGAACUAGGAACAUACCAGUUAAGGAAGCAAAGAGCAAAAAGUAAAGCAAGUAGAGUUCCACAAUCUAGCAUUGGCUUUCAGACGGCUAGACAAGCAGUUAGCACAAGCAUCAGAGAAAGAGGAGAGAGUUUGAGUGUGUGUGUGUGUGUAUUUUGAACUAUUGUUCAUGUCUAGAGGUAGAAUAAGAGGAGAGUAUAUAUAGUAGUUGAGAGAAGAGCAAAAUAAGGUAAAUAGUCAAUCAUUCAGUAAUUAGGGAAAAUUACAUAAUCAAUUAUACAUAAAAUCAGCAAGGUUUUCUUCUAAUAAAGGGGUGACCAGUUAAUGAUAAAGAGCAGGGCAUAUAAUUAAGGAAGAAAAAUUAAAUACUUAAGAAUGGGGUGGGUAAUUAAGGGUAAAUGAACAAAAGUUCAAUUAAAGGAACAAUCAAUAAGAAUCAGCAAGUAUCACAGUUAAUCGUAAAUAAGGCAAGAAAUAAUCAAUGGUCGUAGAAAUAGAAAAAUAACCGAAAAUCGGUAUAUAGGUAUUACCAUAGCAAAUCAGUUAAUAAGGACUCAAAUAAUACUAAUUGGGGGGAAAUGAUAUAGGGUUUCCAUGAAUAAGCAAUUAAACCAAGUAUAAACGGAAAUAAUCGAAUAUGAAACCUUUAUAGUGGCAUACUAGGGUAAAAUCACAAGAUAUUCUAAUUAAACGAAGAAGUAAUCAUGUAAAUCAAAGCAUAGAAUAUUGGUAUGUAUCAAAUAACACGAACAAAUGCAGAAUCCAAACAAAGUAUCAAAAUUGGAGUUUUUAGCAUAUGCUAGUUAGGGUUAAGGAAGAACUCAACGAAAUCAAUCAAAACACAUAGACACAUGGGACUAAACACUUAAAACCAGAAAGCGUUUUGAAGAAAAGGAUUUUCAGAAACACUUGUUUAGGAAGAGCGACUAAAAUUGAAAUAGCUAGUUAAAAUGGGGAUUUUUAAAGGAAAAUGCUUAAUAAUACUCGAAUCAUCUCAGAUCUAUAAAGAAUUGAGAAGAAUCGAACAAUAGCGUACUAAGAGGAAAUCCUUUCUUACAAACGAAAAUGGUCGGAGACAGGCCAGUAGACGAGUUUCAGACCAGAACAGGUUGGCUUUUUUUGAGAUCUUCUCAAGGACUUGUGAAGUCGAACAGCCAUGGAGUAUAGGAGACCAGAGGCGGUCAGAGAAGGCACGAAAAUACCAUAGGAAGGAGUUUCUCGUUCGUGACAGUGAUUGGGGUUUGAGGGUGUCUGAAAGAUAAGAUAAGAGGAGAUGAUUUAGAGGCGGU